GUGGGGAAUCUUAGACAAUGGGGGAAACCCUGAUCUAGCCAUGCCGCGUGAGCGAUGAAGGCCUUAGGGUUGUAAAGCUCUUUCAGCUGGGAAGAUAAUGACGGUACCAGCAGAAGAAGCCCCGGCUAACUCCGUGCCAGCAGCCGCGGUAAUACGGAGGGGGCUAGCGUUGUUCGGAAUUACUGGGCGUAAAGCGCGCGUAGGCGGACCAGAAAGUUGGAGGUGAAAUCCCCGGGCGCAACCUUGGAACUGCCUUCAAAACUCCUGGUCUGGAGUUCGAGAGAGGUGAGUGGAAUUCCGAGUGUAGAGGUGAAAUUCGUAGAUAUUCGGAGGAACACCAGUGGCGAAGGCGGCUCACUGGCUCGAUACUGACGCUGAGGUGCGAAAGCGUGGGGAGCAAACAGGAUUAGAUACCCCUGUAGUCC
rnacentral:rRNA from 1 species